rnacentral:rRNA from 1 species
GAACCUGAAACCGUGUACGUACAAGCAGUGGGAGCACCCUUUGGGUGUGACUGCGUACCUUUUGUAUAAUGGGUCAGCGACUUAUAUUCUGUAGCAAGGUUAACCGAAUAGGGGAGCCGGAGGGAAACCGAGUCUUAACCGGGCGUUAAGUUGCAGGGUAUAGACCCGAAACCCGGUGAUCUAGCCAUGGGCAGGUUGAAGGUUGGGUAACACUAACUGGAGGACCGAACCGACUAAUGUUGAAAAAUUAGCGGAUGACCUGUGGCUGGGGGUGAAAGGCCAAUCAAACCGGGAGAUAGCUGGUUCUCCCCGAAAGCUAUUUAGGUAGCGCCUCGUGAAUUCAUCUCCGGGGGUAGAGCACUGUUUCGGCUAGGGGGCCAUCCCGGCUUACCAACCCGAUGCAAACUGCGAAUACCGGAGAAUGUUAUCACGGGAGACACACGGCGGGUGCUAACGUCCGUCGUGAAGAGGGAAACAACCCAGACCGCCAGCUAAGGUCCCAAAGUCAUGGUUAAGUGGGAAACGAUGUGGGAAGGCCCAGACAGCCAGGAUGUUGGCUUAGAAGCAGCCAUCAUUUAAAGAAAGCGUAAUAGCUCACUGGUCGAGUCGGCCUGCGCGGAAGAUGUAACGGGGCUAAACCAUGCACCGAAGCUGCGGCAGCGACACUGUGUGUUGUUGGGUAGGGGAGCGUUCUGUAAGCCUGUG